AUUUAUAUAGUUUAUUUAAAAUUCUACAUUUUCAUUGUAGAGAAAAAUUAUUUUUAUAAAUA
rnacentral:tRNA from 1 species